GACGAACGCUGGCGGCGUGCUUAACACAUGCAAGUCGAACGGAAAGGCCCUGCUUUUGUGGGGUGCUCGAGUGGCGAACGGGUGAGUAACACGUGAGUAACCUGCCCUUGACUUUGGGAUAACUUCAGGAAACUGGGGCUAAUACCGGAUAGGAGCUCCUGCUGCAUGGUGGGGGUUGGAAAGUUUCGGCGGUUGGGGAUGGACUCGCGGCUUAUCAGCUUGUUGGUGGGGUAGUGGCUUACCAAGGCUUUGACGGGUAGCCGGCCUGAGAGGGUGACCGGCCACAUUGGGACUGAGAUACGGACCAGACUCGUACGGGAGGCAGCAGUGGGGAAUAUUGCACAAUGGGCGGAAGCCUGAGGCAGCAACGCCGCGUGCGGGAUGACGGCCUUCGGGUUGUAAACCGCUUUCGCCUGUGACGAAGCGUGAGUGACGGUAAUGGGUAAAGAAGCACCGGCUAACUACGUG
rnacentral:rRNA from 1 species